GGGGAAUAUUGGGCAAUGGGCGCAAGCCUGACCCAGCAACGCCGCGUGAAGGAAGAAGGCUUUCGGGUUGUAAACUUCUUUUAAGUGGGAAGAGUAGAAGACGGUACCACUUGAAUAAGCCACGGCUAACUACGUGCCAGCAGCCGCGGUAAUACGUAGGUGGCAAGCGUUGUCCGGAUUUACUGGGUGUAAAGGGCGUGCAGCCGGGCAUGCAAGUCAGAUGUGAAAUCUCAGGGCUUAACCCUGAAACUGCAUUUGAAACUGUAUGUCUUGAGUGCCGGAGAGGUAAUCGGAAUUCCUUGUGUAGCGGUGAAAUGCGUAGAUAUAAGGAAGAACACCAGUGGCGAAGGCGGAUUACUGGACGGUAACUGACGGUGAGGCGCGAAAGCGUGGGGAGCGAACAGGAUUAGAUACCCUGGUAGUCCACGCUGUAAACGAUGGAUACUAGGUGUGCGGGGACUGACCCCCUGCGUGCCGCAGUUAACACAAUAAGUAUCCCACCUAGGGAGUACGAUCGCAAGGUUGAAACUCAAAGGAAUUGACGGGGGCCCGCACAAGCGGUGGAUUAUGUGGUUUAAUUCGAAGCAACGCGAAGAACCUUACCAGGUCUUGACAUCCUGCUAACGAAGUAGAGAUACAUUAGGUGCCCUUCGGGGAAAGCAGAGACAGGUGGUGCAUGGUUGUCGUCAGCUCGUGUCGUGAGAUGUUAGGUUAAGUCCUGCAACGAGCGCAACCCCUAUUCUUAGUUGCUACGCAAGAGCACUCUAGCGAGACUGCCGUUGACAAAACGGAGGAAGGUGGGGACGACGUCAAAUCAUCAUGCCCCUUAUGACCUGGGCUACACACGUAAUACAAUGGCGGUCAACAAAGGGAUGCAAAGCCGCGAGGCAGAGCGAACCCCAAAAAGCCGUCCCAGUUCGGAUCGCAGGCUGCAACCCGCCUGCGUGAAGUCGGAAUCGCUAGUAAUCGUGGGUCAGCAUACCACGGUGAAUACGUUCCCG
rnacentral:rRNA from 1 species